UACGGAGGGUGCAAGCGUUAUCCGGAUUCACUGGGUUUAAAGGGUGCGUAGGUGGGUUGGUAAGUCAGUGGUGAAAUCUCCAAGCUUAACUUGGAAACUGCCGUUGAUACUAUCAAUCUUGAAUCUCGUGGAGGUAAGCGGAAUAUGUCAUGUAGCGGUGAAAUGCUUAGAUAUGACGUAGAACACCGAUAGCGAAGGCAGCUUGCUACACGAGUAUUGACACUGAGGCACGAAAGCGUGGGGAUCAAACAGG
rnacentral:rRNA from 1 species